rnacentral:lncRNA from 1 species
UUUGUGAGUUAUUGACCCCAGGACAAGACAACUGUUGGUCGGGGUUUUUUCCAGUGGUAGUGUCGCCACCGCCGGAUAUUACUGUUUUUUUUGAAAAUGCUAGUUUUUGCAGUUAUUUCUAUUGUAAAAACCAUUCUUGAACCAUUACUUGGACUUUGAUAUAGAAUUAUAGAUGAGGCCGUAGACACUUGGGAGGGAAACGAUGUUUUUCAAAUAUUUUGACGUCAUAGAUACUCUUUUUAUCAAACAACUGGUGAAACACCCGAAACAUUUUUAGUCAUAUUGAGACAAAUUGGAAAUAAUGUUUUCCAGAAUGACACUGGCAGGCCAUACAAACUUUCCCGAGAAAUAGAGUUAUGUUGUUCAUGCUUUGGCUAAGAUCAUAACCGUGUUACCACAUGCUUACCUUAAUUUUUGACGUAAGCGUUACCACAAUACAUGAUGAAAUUAAUAUGUGCAUUCUCGUGUUUUACCAACAUUUUCAUCAUCUGGUACAUUGGCCAUCUCUUAAUGAAUGGACAGCAAAGAUGGGAAACUAGGAAAAACUCCCAAAUGCAGUGGGUGCUAUUGACGGUACCUCAACAGAAAUUUACAGGCCACUUGUU